ACGAACGCUGGCGGCGUGCUUAACCCCUGCAAGUCGAACGGAAAGGCCCUGCUUUUGUGGGGUGCUCGAGUGGCGAACGGGUGAGUAACACGUGAGUAACCUGCCCUUGACUUUGGGAUAACUUCAGGAAACUGGGGCUAAUACCGGAUAGGAGCUCCUGCUGCAUGGUGGGGGUUGGAAAGUUUCGGCGGUUGGGGAUGGACUCGCGGCUUAUCAGCUUGUUGGUGGGGUAGUGGCUUACCAAGGCUUUGACGGGUAGCCGGCCUGAGAGGGUGACCGGCCACAUUGGGACUGGGAUACCGCCCAGACUCCUACGGGAGGCAGCAGUGGGGAAUAUUGCACAAUGGGCGGAAGCCUGAUGCAGCAACGCCGCGUGCGGGAUGACGGCCUUCGGGUUGUAAACCGCUUUCGCCUGUGACGAAGCGUGAGUGACGGUAAUGGGUAAAGAAGCACCGGCUAACUACGUG
rnacentral:rRNA from 1 species